rnacentral:rRNA from 1 species
CAGUCGCCGCGGUAAUACGUAGGGUGCAAGCGUUAAUCGGAAUUACUGGGCGUAAAGCGUGCGCAGGCGGUUGUGUAAGACAGGUGUGAGAUCCCCGGGCUUAACCUGGGAAUUGCAUUUGUGACUGCACGACUAGAGUGUGUCAGAGGGGGGUGGAAUUCCACGUGUAGCAGUGAAAUGCGUAGAUAUGUGGAGGAACACCAAUGGCGAAGGCAGCCCCCUGGGAUAACACUGACGCUCACGCACGAAAGCGUGGGGAGCAAACAGGAUUAGAUACCCCGGUAGUCCCUGUCUCUUAUAC